UACGUAGGGGGCAAGCGUUGUCCGGAAUCAUUGGGCGUAAAGAGCGUGUAGGCGGCUCGGUAAGUCCGCUCUGAAAGCCCGGGGCUCAACCCCGGGCCUGCAGUCGAUACGGGCGGACUAGAGUUCGGCAGGGGGAGACUGGAAUUCCUGGUGUAGCGGUGAAAUGCGCAGAGUAUCAGGAGGAACACCGGUGGCGAAGGCGGGUCUCUGGGCCGAUACUGACGCUGAGGAGCGAAAGCGUGGGGAGCGAAACAGG
rnacentral:rRNA from 1 species